AGGGAGGGAGUGAGGGACCGUCAGUGGAAGGCCUUGUUGAGUUGUUCCUUGUGGGACGAAAAUCAAGAGCCUGAUUGGUUCGGUUCUGCUUCGUGCCAAGCUAAAAUUAGGACAUGCCAAAAUUAAGGCUCACCAAAAUCAGGGUAUGCUAAAGUUAGAGCAAAAAAUUUUGGUAUUUAUUUGAUUUGGUGGCAAUGUAUGGCAACCAAUACUCUCCACCCUUUUAAGUUUUAGAAGUCUAAUGAUUUGUCUUAGUUUUGGCUAUAAACAUUGACAUAUCAAUUUUUGGUAAUGAACCAAUUGAUAGACAAAGUUUUUAGGGCAUGCCAAGAUUUUGAUUCGGCAAAAAUUGAAAUCCAACACCCUAAUUGACUGAUUAUAUUUACUGGAGCAAUUUUUUUUAUGAGAAAACUGGAGCAUGUAGAGGCGGCCAUUGGAAACGUUCC
rnacentral:lncRNA from 1 species